AUUACCCUCAGUAACGGCGAGUGAAGCGGUAACAGCUCAAAUUUGAAAUCCCGGUUUCUUUCAGGGUCCGAGUUGUAAUUUGUAGAAGAUGUUCCCUUGUGUGGCUCCGGUCUAAGUUCCUUGGAACAGGACGUCGUAGAGGGUGAGAAUCCCGUAUGUGACUGGCUGCCUCCGCCCAUGUGAAACUCUUUCGACGAGUCGAGUUGUUUGGGAAUGCAGCUCAAAAUGGGUGGUAAAUUUCAUCUAAAGCUAAAUAUUGGCCAGAGACCGAUAGCGCACAAGUAGAGUGAUCGAAAGAUGAAAAGCACUUUGGAAAGAGAGUUAAACAGUACGUGAAAUUGUUGAAAGGGAAGCGCUUGCAAUCAGACUUGCGCGCGGCCGAUCAUCCGGGGUUCUCCCCGGUGCACUCGGUCGCGUUCAGGCCAGCAUCGGUUUGGGUGGUGGGAUAAAGGCCUUGGGAAUGUAGCUUCUUUCGGGGAGUGUUAUAGCCCUCGGUGCAAUGCCGCCUAUCCAGACCGAGGACCGCGCUUCGGCUAGGAUGCUGGCGUAAUGGUUGUAAGCGACCCGUCUUGAAACACGGACCAAGGAGUCUAACACUUAUGCGAGUAUUUGGGUGUCAAACCCAUAUGCGUAAUGAAAGUGAACGGAGGUGAGAACCCUUAAGGGUGCAUCAUCGACCGGUCCUGAUGUCUUCGGAUGGAUCUGAGUAAGAGCAUAAUUGUUAGGACCCGAAAGAAGGUGAACUAUGCCUGAAUAGGGUGAAGCCAGA
rnacentral:rRNA from 1 species